rnacentral:tRNA from 1 species
GCCCGGGUGGUGGAAUCGGCAGACACUGGACCCUUAAAAGGUCCUGGCCUUCGGGCCGUGUGGGUUCAAAUCCCACCCCGGGCA